rnacentral:rRNA from 1 species
CAAUAGCGUAUAUUAAAGUUGUUGCAGUUAAAAAGCUCGUAGUUGGAUUUCUGGUUGAAGCGACCGGUCGGGCGUUGAUUCGUCUGCACUGGAGUCGGUUUUGGCCAUCCUCUAGGAAAGUGCGUCUGGUAUUAAGUUAUCGGGCGUAUGAUCCUGGUCUUUUACUGUGAAAAAAUUAGAGUGUUUAAAGCAGGCCUUCGCCUUGAAUACAUUAGCAUGGAAUAAUAAGAUAGGACUUUGGUCUAUUUUGUUGGUUCGCAGACCGAAGUAAUGAUUAAUAGGGAUAGUUGGGGGUAUUUAUAUUCCGAUGUCAGAGGUGAAAUUCUUAGAUUUUCGGAAGAUAAACUUAUGCGAAAGCAUUUACCAAGGAUGUUUUCAUUAA